rnacentral:rRNA from 1 species
GUGGGGAGCAAACAGGAUUAGAUACCUGGUAGUCACGCUGUAAACGAUGUCGAUUUGAAGGUUGUUCCCUUGAGGAGUGGCUUUCGGAGCUAACGCGUUAAAUCGACCGCUGGGGAGUACGGCCGCAAGGUUAAAACUCAAAUGAAUUGACGGGGGCCCGCACAAGCGGUGGAGCAUGUGGUUUAAUUCGAUGCAACGCGAAGAACCUUACCUACUCUUGACAUCCAGAGAAUUUGGCAGAGAUGCUUUAGUGCCUUCGGGAACUCUGAGACAGGUGCUGCAUGGCUGUCGUCAGCUCGUGUUGUGAAAUGUUGGGUUAAGUCCCGCAACGAGCGCAACCCUUAUCCUUUGUUGCCAGCACGUAAUGGUGGGAACUCAAAGGAGACUGCCGGUGAUAAACCGGAGGAAGGUGGGGAUGACGUCAAGUCAUCAUGGCCCUUACGAGUAGGGCUACACACGUGCUACAAUGGCGUAUACAAAGAGAAGCGAACUUGCGAGAGUAAGCGGAACUCAUAAAGUACGUCGUAGUCCGGAUUGGAGUCUGCAACUCGACUCCAUGAAGUCGGAAUCGCUAGUAAUCGUAGAUCAGAAUGCUACGGUGAAUACGUUCCCGGGCCUUGUACACACCGCCCGUCACACCAUGGGAGUGGGUUGCAAAAGAAGUAGGUAGCUUAACCUUCGGGAGGGCGCUUACCACUUUGUGAUUCAUGACUGGGGUGAAGUCGUAACAAGGUAACCA